AUGACAGCGUCGACAUGGACGAUGGUGCCAUCGGAGAGCACGGCGUCGGAGUUCGUGAAGCGGGUGAUGCCGGGGACGACGGUGAUUUGGCCGCUCCUGAUCCUGGCGAGCGCGCCGGUGUCGAGCACCGGGGCGCGGCCUUGCGUGUGCUUGAGCGUGAGCGGGCCGACAGCCGGGCGGUGGAUGCCGAGCUUGUCGAGGUCGCCGAGGACGAGCCAGGCGAGGAAGAUCAUGAUCUUGUCCACCAACCAGAGCGGGAGCCACGCCACGAGCAGCAUGGCCAGCUCGAAAGUGGACUUGCCGAGCACCUCGCGCGGAAUGACGUGCAUGGCGUCGCGCACCACCAUGAAAGGGUGGGCGCCGUGGUCGCAGAGGUCGAGGGAGACCUCCAUGCCGGAGUUCCCGCAGCCGACGACGAGCACGCGCUUCCCGUUGUAUGGCUCGCCGGACUUGUAG
rnacentral:rRNA from 1 species